rnacentral:rRNA from 1 species
AUACGUAGGUGGCGAGCGUUGUCCGGAAUUACUGGGUGUAAAGGGAGCGUAGGCGGUUUGGUAAGUUGAGUGUGAAAUCUACCGGCUUAACUGGUAGGCUGCGCUCAAAACUACCAAACUUGAGUGAAGUAGAGGCAGGCGGAAUUCCCGGUGUAGCGGUGAAAUGCGUAGAUAUUAGGAGGAACACCAGUGGCGAAGGCGGCUUACUGGACUGUAACUGACGUUGAGGCUCGAAAGCGUGGGGAGC